rnacentral:rRNA from 1 species
GAUGAACGCUGGCGGCGUGCCUAAUGCAUGCAAGCCGAACGGCCUGAUUUAUCAGGCAGUGGCAGACGGGUGAGUAACGCGUAAGAACUUACCCUAAAGUGGGGGACAACCUCGAGAAAUCGGGGCUAAUACCGCAUACGCUCCGCAAGGAGGAAAGCUUCGGCGCUUUAGGAUGGGCUUGCGCCCUAUCAGGUAGUUGGUGAGGUAAUGGCCCACCAAGCCUUAGACGGGUAGCUGGUCUGAGAGGAUGAUCAGCCACACUGGAAUUGAGAUACGGUCCAGACUCCUACGGGAGGCUG